UCAUUGAGCAAUUCGUCGUCCGUAU
rnacentral:miRNA from 1 species